UUUAUAUCUCCCUCCGUCCUAAAAUUCUUGUCUUAGAUUUGUCUAGAUACAAAUGUAUCUAAUACUAAAAUGUGGCUUGAUACAUCCGUAUUUAGACAAAUUUAAGACAAGAAUUUUGGGACGGAGAGAGUACUUG
rfam:Triticum aestivum genome assembly, contig: Triticum_aestivum_CS42_TGACv1_scaffold_320675_4BL